rnacentral:rRNA from 1 species
CGGGGACCCGCACAAGCGGUGGAGCAUGUGGUUUAAUUCGAAGCAACGCGAAGAACCUUACCAAAUCUUGACAUCCUUUGACAACUCUAGAGAUAGAGCUUUCCCCUUCGGGGGACAAAGUGACAGGUGGUGCAUGGUUGUCGUCAGCUCGUGUCGUGAGAUGUUGGGUUAAGUCCCGCAACGAGCGCAACCCUUAAGCUUAGUUGCCAUCAUUAAGUUGGGCACUCUAAGGUGACUGCCGGUGACAAACCGGAGGAAGGUGGGGAUGACGUCAAAUCAUCAUGCCCCUUAUGAUUUGGGCUACACACGUGCUACAAUGGACAAUACAAAGGGCAGCGAAA